UUGGUGGCGACCGGCGCACGGGUGAGUAACGCGUAUGCAACCCACUUAUCAGAGGGGAAUAACCCGGCGAAAGUCGGACUAAUACUGCAUAAAACAGGGACACCGCAUGGUGAUAUUUGUUAAAGAAAUUCGCUGAUAGAUGGGCAUGCGUUCCAUUAGGUAGUUGGUGAGGUAACGGCUCACCAAGCCGACGAUGGAUAGGGGAACUGAGAGGUUGGUCCCCCACACUGGUACUGAGACACGGACCAGACUCCUACGGGAGGCAGCAGUGGGGAAUAUUGGUCAAUGGGCGAGAGCCUGAACCAGCCAAGUCGCGUGAAGGAAGAAGGAUCUAUGGUUCGUAAACUUCUUUUGCAGGGGAAUAAAGUGCAGGACGUGUCCUGUUUUGUAUGUACCCUGAGAAUAAGGAUCGGCUAACUCCGUGCCAGCAGCCGCGGUAAUACGGAGGAUCCGAGCGUUAUCCGGAUUUAUUGGGUUUAAAGGGUGCGUAGGUGGUUUGAUAAGUCAGCGGUGAAAGUUUGCAGCUUAACUGUAAAAAUGCCGUUGAAACUGUCGGACUUGAGUGUAAAUGAGGUAGGCGGAAUGCGUGGUGUAGCGGUGAAAUGCUUAGAUAUCACGAAGAACUCCGAUUG
rnacentral:rRNA from 1 species